GAAUGAAUAAAUAAAGAACUGGACAGAUUCAGUUUACAUUGAGAUUCUUAUUGCCUUUUGUAUCUUUGUAAAAUCCUCCCAAGUUAGCAGAGGGCUCGGGAAUUUUCCACCAUUUGUCAUUUGAGUAUAGCUGCUUGCUUUUUCAGCUUGCAACAAAAAGCUCAUUUUCACUGUUUUGGGGACAGGAAUUUAAGCCGGUUAUAACUAUGAAUAUUGGUAUUGCAAGCCAAUAUAUUGCAACUUCCUGCCCCACAUGGUUAGCUGGACAACUCUCUUUUGUGCAAUGACUGAAGUACAUAAUUCCAAACGAGAGGAGAAUUAGCAUUUUAUUUAGCAUUGGAAAUUAGUGUUCCACGGUGCAUCAAAAUCUUGGAACAAAAUAUAAACAUUAGUUAAUUCUCUGGCUGGGUUUUUGACAAUGGAGUGGUGACUUCAUUGAUUCCAAAACAACCCCCCCCCCCCCCCCCCCCCCCGCGGCGGCAAUAUCAUCCAUCUGCUUGUACUAAUUAGAAAGAGAUACUAAGAAAGUAGCAACAAGUCACCAAAUGAAAGAGACUGCUUGGAGAGUGUGUCGCUGACAUCCAAUUGUUAUAUGGACCAUGUGAAAGAGGAAUGCUCAGAAUCAAACUUACAGUCACGAGUUGAACUAAUGUAUGUAUGUCUUGAUUACCUAAACUUGAGUUUCUGAUGAACCUUUUAUAUGUAAGACGGCUAUUAUCUUAAGAGGUAAUUAAAGCCAUCAACAUUGGAUGUAAUGCGAGUGA
rnacentral:lncRNA from 1 species